CGGUAGUCCUCUACGAACACGAGACCUGGACGAUGCUCGUGGAGGACCAACGCGCACUUGGACGCGACGGAAAGUGCUGCGUACCAUCUAUGGUGGGGUGCAGAUGGCGGACGGUACGUGGAGGAGGCGAAUGAACCACGAGUUGCAUGAGCUGCUGGGAGAACCAUCCAUCGUUCACACCGCGAAAAUCGGACGACUGCGGUGGGCCGGGCACGUAGCCAGAAUGUCGGACAGUAACUCGGUGAAAAUAGUUCUCGACAACGAGCUGUGCAGCGGGCAAGGUGGAUCGAUGAGGUGGAGGAUGACUUGCGGACCCUCCGUAGACUGCGUGGUUGGCGACGUGUAGCCAUGGACCGAGCCGAAUGGAGAAGACUCUUGUAUACUGCACAGGCCACUUCGGCCUUAGUCUGAAUAAAUAAAUAAUAAUGUGUUAAGCACUUCAUUUAUCUGAAAAUCUGUGGAUCUGAUGCAAAGUUUGAAAACGACAAAACAUAAGACAAAAACUGUGACCUAUUGGAGAAUAAAUAAAUUGUUUUAACUGCAAACAGAAUAAUAUUACAUGAUUACAGCCAUUGCACUAUUUUCGCGAGGGAUAAUUUUCAGAGUGUAAACUACGCAUGCGGUAAUAAACUGUACAAUAUUUUUUAGCAACGAAACCAACGAUAAAAAAAACUGCACCAGAUUGAGAUCCUAAUGAUAUACAUGUCGAAGUUAUUUUUCACUAGACAACAAUCUAAAAACAGUUCAAUUGACUCGCUCUGAAAUGUUGUUCCACUCGCCCCUUGUAUGUGAAAAUGCAAGGCCAAGUGAACAUUGUAGAUUUGACUGAUGUACAACUGAUUUUCCACAGCCGGAAGUUGACAGGUAGACCAGUGCCGCUCGUUCAACAUCCAGCAGCCUACCAGGAACUGCUGUUUUCGAAGGUUCCGGAAUUACAGCACAAUGAAAUGCGAUGGCCAAACCAGAGGCAGCUGAAUUCCUCCUAUUUACUUGUCAUAAGAUGGGUUCGUACUAUCCCAUUUAAUUCCACCACUUGAUUGUAAGUUGACAGAUACGUAUUUCGACCUCAACAGUAAGGCCGUCUUCAGUGUCUCGUACUUGACCCGACUUCAGUUCCAAUUAGGCUUUCUUCGAGCGUGUACGUACACGCACACUUCACGCACACUUUUACUCAGUUUGUUUGCAACCACGAGCAGCUGUCACGGCAAAAUCAAAUGGGAUUAUUUGCAACCACAAACUGUGCGUACGUGUUGGUGAGAAAUGUCGGCGAGACCCUAAUACGUAUCUGUCAAGUUACAAUCAAGUGGUGGAAUUAAAUGGGAUAGUACGAACUCGUCUUAUGACAAGUGAAGACAUUCCACUAAAAAGCUCAAAAAUAAUUUUCUCCUCCUAUUUAUUGGGUAUACGUCGUAACAGUUGAUUCUACGUUCCGGGAAAUAACUGUUCCCAUACACUGUGGCACCUUUUGAUAUUCAAGUACACUUGAUGUUCCGUUACAACGCGCUCGAUGCCGGCAUUGGACAAAAUGCCCUAUAUAUGAAUGGAUUACUGUUGGCUGGACUGCUAGUUUACGAUCGAAUAUUGCCGGAUCACGCGCACCUGUCAGGUGUUCGACACGGCGCUUCGAGUCUAACGGAUCAUGCUGGAUCUGAGAAUAUGGUCGCAAUAUCUUGAGUUGCUGGGAGAAUUUGAUAUCCUGAUUCCUUUCCGACGCUCGCCAAUAGCAGUCCGUUU